GUAGAGAUUAUCGCUGAAAGAACGUGGGAGCACAUCUGAGGGUCUUCAUUUCUAAAGUUUCCAGGUGAGGCUGAGAAACUGAGAGGCAAGGAGUGACUGAUGGAGAGGGAAACCGUCUCCAUCAGUCAACAAUAGGGAUCCAAGUAAGAGGAGGCUCUUAGCUGUUAACAGGAUUCGCUUGAAGAGAUCAGUCGUUCCUUUCCUGAGUACUCCGCAGAGAAAAAUCAGACAUAGCCCCAAUGCGCAAGUCACAGUUGUGUGGUAUCAGACAGCUAAACAGACAGUUGCAUAAAAGGGCGAUCAGUUUGCCUGACAGAGCCUAAGCGUGGGACGCCAGAGAUGGCUUCCUGGAGAAAGUAGUCCUCUGACAGGUAAAUAAAAGGAACUGGAGGGACCUUGCAUAUGGCAGGCAAGACGGUGGGAAGAUGUUGCAGAGACUGGAGGAAACUCGAGUGUUUCCUGCCAGAAUCCUCCAAGUCUCCCUCUUCCCUCUGCCCUCCAACACAGCUAUCUGCAUUUGUUUGACCUGGAAACAAUGACCCUUUUAUAUAUUAGGCUACGUUUUAUUAAAAAAAAAAUUCUGUAACUCAAUGACGGUCAUUAAAAGGUUUUUAAUCUAAUUUAAAAAGUAAAACGUUUGGCCAAGUGCGGUGGCUCACGCCUGUAAUCCCAACUCUUAGGGAGGCAGAAGCAGGAGGAUUGCUUCAGCCCAGGAGUUCAAGACCAGCGCUCGCCCUCGCUGUCUCUCUCCCGCUCCCUCUCACUCUCACUCUCUCUCUCUCACUUUUACCUUACUUAAAGUUGCUACUAUUAUUAUACCCAUUUUACAAAUGAGAGAACUUACGCACAGAAAGGCUAGAUGACCUACUUAAGGAUACACAUUCCCUAAGUGUGAGAUUUAAACCCAGAAGUGCUGGCUCUAUGCACUUAAGCAGUAUGCUGUAUUACAUAGUGUCCCAAGGUGAUCUGUUCCAUCAAGGAGCUCAUGCUUUAGAGAUGGAGACAAGCAAGAAAAGAGACUACUGAAAUAUAAACCAAACAUUCUUGAAUUCCACCAAUCCCUGUGAACGAUAGUAAAGAAGAGUCACAACAUGCUUUCCCUGAAAAUGGAUUUAUCCUACUCUUUUCAAGCUUUACUUUCAGACUCAUGUGCAUUGACAGACACUAAAAAGGUAAAAUCUUUAUUUUCAAUGUAUUAAACGAUUUAACAUUUCUUACUAGAGUAUGAUAUACAGUAUAUCAGGAAAGAGUAUGACAUAUAUGCACUAAUCGUAAAUUAUACAAAAGUCAUUGAUUCAACUCCCAUUUUUGUAAUAUUCUAAUGUUUACUAACUUGGGAGAAGCCCAACAAAAUUAUAAAGUUUAGUUUACUUUUCUUAUUGACUGGUUAUGGUAGCCAGCCUUUAAGAUGGCCACAAUGAUUCUUGCUUCCUGGUAUUCACACCCUUGCAUAGUCUUCUGUGACAUUAGUCAUAUAGGAUUAGUUUAUGUAACCAGAAGAAUACAGCAGAUACGCUGGUGUGUGACUUCUGAGGACAAGUCAUAAAAGACAUCACUCCUUCUGCUUUCCUUUCUUGGAUCACCUGCUCUGGGGGUACUAAGUCCCAUAUUGUAAAGAUAACUAACCCUAAGAAGAUGUCAAUGUGGCAAGAAACUGAGGCAUCCUGCCAAUAGUCAGGGCCACUUUGAGAUAUGUGCAUAAAUCAUCUUAAAAGCAGGUCCUCUACCCCUGUCAAGCCUUUGGAUUACUAUAGCUC
rnacentral:lncRNA from 10 species